rnacentral:rRNA from 1 species
GAUGAACGCUGGCGGCGUGCCUAACACAUGCAAGUCGAGCGAGGUUUUCGGACCUAGCGGCGGACGGGUGAGUAACGCGUGGGAACGUGCCCUUUGCUACGGAAUAGCCCCGGGAAACUGGGAGUAAUACCGUAUGUGCCCUUCGGGGGAAAGAUUUAUCGGCAAAGGAUCGGCCCGCGUUGGAUUAGGUAGUUGGUGGGGUAAUGGCCUACCAAGCCGACGAUCCAUAGCUGGUUUGAGAGGAUGAUCAGCCACACUGGGACUGAGACACGGCCCAGACUCCUACGGGAGGCAGCAGUGGGGAAUCUUAGACAAUGGGGGAAACCCUGAUCUAGCCAUGCCGCGUGAGCGAUGAAGGCCUUAGGGUUGUAAAGCUCUUUCAGGUGGGAAGAUAAUGACGGUACCACCAGAAGAAGCCCCGGCUAACUCAGUGGCAGCCGCCGCGGUAA